rnacentral:rRNA from 1 species
UGGGGAAUAUUGCACAAUGGGCGCAAGCCUGAUCCAGCCAUGCCGCGUGUGUGAAGAAGGUCUUCGGAUUGUAAAGCACUUUAAGUUGGGAGGAAGGGCAGUAAGCUAAUACCUUGCUGUUUUGACGUUACCGACAGAAUAAGCACCGGCUAACUCUGUGCCAGCAGCCGCGGUAAUACAGAGGGUGCAAGCGUUAAUCGGAAUUACUGGGCGUAAAGCGCGCGUAGGUGGUUUGUUAAGUUGGAUGUGAAAGCCCCGGGCUCAACCUGGGAACUGCAUCCAAAACUGGCAGGCUAGAGUACGGUAGAGGGUGGUGGAAUUUCCUGUGUAGCGGUGAAAUGCGUAGAUAUAGGAAGGAACACCAGUGGCGAAGGCGACCACCUGGACUGAUACUGACACUGAGGUGCGAAAGCGUGGGGAGCAAACA